ensembl:lncRNA novel transcript
GUGCCUUUAAAUUACUGCUUUCGGAGGGUGCAUCUAGGGGGAGGUGGGAGGCAGGAAAACAUCUUCCUACCGGUCUCCCUCCUCCCUCCCCUCCAAGACUCUUCAGGGUUUGGAGAGUGAUUGCUGCCCAGAGAGAAUCUUUUCCAGCUCCCAGCUGGCAGGCUAAGGCCCUCCGGAGCCCAAGGCGAGCCCAAGCAGAAGCCAGUAGGGUUAUCUGUGUCAGGAUCAUUUCCAGGGGAAUAGUUCUGGCCCCUGGCAGGUAAAGACAGGCCAGAGGAGAAGAGGCAGAAGAGGAGAGAAAGCAGGCUCUUUUGCGAGCAGCCCAGGUUGGAGAAAGGCUCUGUACUUUUGGCGUUCCUGCAGGGAUAUCCCCUCUCACAUUGGCAGCCAGGCUGAGAAAGGGCUUCAAGAUCCCCGCAGAAUGACAACUCUUGUUCCUGCAACCCUCUCCUUCCUUCUUCUCUGGACCCUGCCAGGGCAGGUCCUCCUCAGGGUGGCCUUGGCAAAAGAGGAAGUCAAAUCUGGAACCAAGGGGUCCCAGCCCAUGUCCCCCUCUGAUUUCCUAGACAAACUUAUGGGGCGAACAUCUGGAUAUGAUGCCAGGAUUCGGCCCAAUUUUAAAGGCCCACCCGUGAACGUGACCUGCAACAUCUUCAUCAACAGUUUCAGCUCCAUCACCAAGACCACAAUGGACUACCGGGUGAAUGUCUUCUUGCGGCAACAGUGGAAUGACCCACGCCUGUCCUACCGAGAAUAUCCUGAUGACUCUCUGGACCUCGAUCCCUCCAUGCUGGACUCUAUCUGGAAGCCAGACCUCUUCUUUGCUAAUGAGAAAGGGGCCAACUUCCAUGAGGUGACCACGGACAACAAGUUACUGCGCAUCUUCAAGAAUGGGAAUGUGCUGUACAGCAUCAGGCUGACCCUCAUUUUGUCCUGCCUGAUGGACCUCAAGAACUUCCCCAUGGACAUCCAGACCUGCACGAUGCAGCUUGAGAGCUUUGGCUACACCAUGAAAGACCUCGUGUUUGAGUGGCUGGAAGAUGCUCCUGCUGUCCAAGUGGCUGAGGGGCUGACUCUGCCCCAGUUUAUCUUGCGGGAUGAGAAGGAUCUAGGCUGUUGUACCAAGCACUACAACACAGGGAAAUUCACCUGCAUCGAGGUAAAGUUUCACCUGGAACGGCAGAUGGGCUACUAUCUGAUUCAGAUGUACAUCCCCAGCCUACUCAUCGUCAUCCUGUCCUGGGUCUCCUUCUGGAUCAACAUGGAUGCUGCCCCUGCCCGUGUGGGCCUGGGCAUCACCACCGUGCUCACCAUGACCACCCAGAGCUCUGGCUCCCGGGCCUCUUUGCCUAAGGUGUCCUACGUGAAGGCAAUCGACAUCUGGAUGGCUGUGUGUCUGCUCUUUGUGUUCGCUGCCUUGCUGGAGUAUGCUGCCAUAAAUUUUGUUUCUCGUCAGCAUAAAGAAUUCAUACGACUUCGAAGAAGGCAGAGGCGCCAACGCUUGGAGGAAGAUAUCAUCCAAGAAAGUCGUUUCUAUUUCCGUGGCUAUGGCUUGGGCCACUGCCUGCAGGCAAGAGAUGGAGGUCCAAUGGAAGGUUCUGGCAUUUAUAGUCCCCAACCUCCAGCCCCUCUUCUAAGGGAAGGAGAAACCACGCGGAAACUCUACGUGGACUGAGCCAAGAGAAUUGACACCAUCUCCCGGGCUGUCUUCCCUUUCACUUUCCUCAUCUUCAAUAUCUUCUACUGGGUUGUCUAUAAAGUGCUAUGGUCAGAAGAUAUCCACCAGGCUCUGUGAAUAGGGUGGGAGCUAUAGAGUCCUGCUGCUGGCCUCCUGCUUCCUCCUGGGUGGGCUUUCUCCCUCAGUUAGACUCCAUUAGGGGUUUGGACAGUUCCUUCCUGAUCUCCCACUCAGAACUUCAACUACCAGUCCCAAAGCUAUGUGGGCCUAUAUUGCAUGGUGCCAAUGGUGGCUGUACUUAUAAAGAUGGCUUAUCUACCCUAGUCCAUAUUUUCUCCAUACUUUCCCAUUUCUCAUGAGACUAAGGUUUGGCCACAUUCCUGGGGCCAGGAUGACCUUCUGCCCUUGCUGGAGCCUCCCUGUUUUCCAAUACUCCAGUGGAGAGUAUUCAGAACACUGCUGCUAGAUUCUGGCAUUUGUCAUCUUAAUCUGCACCACUUCUCCCCCUGCCACCUCCCACCCAGAGCCUGGCCAUUACUCUGUCCUCUGUCCCUCCUGCUGCAGAUUCAAAUGGUGAGUUUCUCCUAUCCACAAGUGCUGCCCUGUGGGGCCUAGUCAGGUUUCCUUGAAGUGAGAGGAAGGCAAAGCCGCAAGUUCCCCACCUCUCGAGAGGGUUGGAACAGUCAUAGGCUGCACUGGGCUAGCGACUAUAUGGCCCAACAGAGAGGUGUUCAAGUCUCUUGGGAAGCCCCACACUUUGUCUUCAUCCCUUUUCCUAUUGCGCUUGUCUGCUCUUUCCUGUUCACUGAGAUACUCCUCUUGUCUGUCUCUUAGUUUUGAGGAGAGCGUUCUGAGCUGACCAGGGUAGCUGGUUCAGAAAUUACUGUCAGAAUUGGGGCAGAGACUUUGGGUUCUCAAAAAGACUAACCUUCCAGAUCCACCUGAACAUUCUGGUCUCAGAAAUAUUCGUUCCGUUCCCUAAUUAACUAGCAUGAUGGCAGGAUCUGUUGGACAGCUGGGGAGUGUAAAAAAAGAAAAAUACUUGUUCUUUAAGAAACUUACUUUAUGAUGCUAGAAAACUUUUGAGAAAAGUGAGAUCCAAGGUAGUGGAACCCAGGAGGAGUAGAAUAGAGAAACUAUUCUCAGAGUGUCUUUUGUUGGCUGGGCUUUCAUUUGUUUCUUCUUUCUCACCAAAGUCUAUUUUCCAGGGCCCUUCAUUUCCAACCUGGUCUUUCACCUCCUUUUGGUGUGCAAAUAAAGGUGCCGCUGCAACCUUGUUAAGGAUAGAAUGGGCUUCAGGUUUGCUGGGGAGGAACUAGGCACGUAGAAGACCCCUAUACUAGAUCAACAUUGAUUUGACCAACAUCAGGGUAGAAGUUGUAGAAGUUAAAGAGCCAUAAUUCAGAGUUGUUUCUUCACCCUUCUUGCUCCACAAGGAGAAGCAGUGAGUAGGUGUAGCAGUCAGUUGAAGCUACCAGAAACGUCAGAAUAGAGAGAGUUGGUGUGGAAGAGCCCACUUCAGGCCUGACAUACCACUGGGACAUGGGGAAGCAUGUGCCUGGCACACUGAGACCUUUGAAGUGACCAACUGUGAGUAACUGAAACAGGAGAGAUUAAAGUGUGGGACUGACACUGGAAGAAAGAAGUGAUCAAAUGAUCUCUUAGACAUCUUGUCCUUUUCUCUGGACCUAGAAUAAUUAAGCACAUAAGUCCAGUCUCUCUCUCUGCUUCUCUCUUUCUCUCUCCUUUUCUCUCUCUCUUCCUCCUUCCCUCCCUCCCUCCCUCCAUAUGGUGAUCCAAAUUGAAAGUCAAUAAAUCCAAUGGCCAAAGCUAAUCCUAUAAUCAAACCAAGAGCUUGAUUUGUCUUUAUCCCUUUUCCUAUUGCACUUGUCUGCUCUUUCCUGUUCACUGAGAUACUCCUCUUGUCUGUCUCUUAGUUUUGAGGAGAGCAUUCUGAGCUGACCAGGGUAGCUGGUCUAGAAAUUAUUUUUAUUGGCAAUAUUAUAACUCUGGUGCCAAGCAGAUUUAAAACAAAAUAACUGGCAUAAGGGAGCAGAUUGAAUUGAGAAGGGCAGAAAACCCCUGUUUUCCUAUUUCUGCCCAGGUAGUGCCAAUCAAUGAGAGGCCACAAGCAAUACUCCUUUGAAAGGAGCAGAGAGCAUCUCUUUGAUACUCUCCAUGGAGGGGCUGGGGUGUCAGGCUGCUGCAGCCCGAAGGCGGGGGUAGCGGGGAGGGUGGACUAUGGAGAUGAGCUUAUUGCACAGAGCUCUACUUGUUAUAGAUCUUGUCCAGAUGGGCCAACUGCACAAAUCUGCCCUGUUGGAAGUCUCAAGAACAAUGCCCUGGAGACAGCUACAGCACUGAGCAAUAGAGCCUGCCCAACUGGGACUCAGAUCAGGGCAUCAGCUGGUGCUGGGAGCCAAAGAAGCCAAAGUACCAACCAACAUAAUAGCCCACAGGAGCACACAAAGCCACUCAGAGGCAAUGCCAGGUGGAAGGUGCUAUUCCUCCCCAUUGGAGCCCCCAAGCAGGGAAGGGAGAUGCAUGGUGUCAGAAUCAGGUGCAGAUGACUUUCAUUUUCCUCACCCUUCCCACAUAUGUACAGGGGCUGGGAAAUACUGGGUCUCACUGGGAGCAUCUGUCACCUAGCAAUCUCUCAAUCAUACAAUAAAAAUUGAACCCUUCUUACCACAGUGAAUUGGCAGGAGGUCACAGGAGGCUCACUUGGAGGUUGCUUCCAUUUAUCAUCAUUCUUAUAGUACUUACCCCUCCAGAGACCACACUACCUUCUGCCUAGAUCACAUCUGAAGUGAUGUUGAGAUUUAGAACAGCAUUUUUUAAAGAGGAAAAACUUCCUACAUAAAUAAAGUGUUUUGGGUGUUUUCAUUAAUUCAUUUUUAAUAUUUAAUGCCAGCUAAAUAUUUUAUACAUAUAUUUUUCCAGGGAAAGCGCUUUAUUUAUUCAGUUGUUGUUAAGGCUAUCAGUCCCUCCAUCUUCCCUUUGGUUUGCUCUGCUCUCUGGAAAACCACUGGUCUGUCAUCUUUUAUUGCCUCAUUCUACAAGCACAGCCUCUUGUUCUCCCAGAAUUCACAGGCAAAGCAAAAAGAGCUUUCUACAUGGAAGAAAGGUAGUGAAGAAAAUUUAUUCCUUUAGCUUUCUCCCAUAAGCAUUUUUCCCUACCUGUCACCAAAGAAUGGGCAUGCUUCUAGUUGAAAGGUUAUUUGACUCUUGAAGUUAUUUUCUCUUUUCACUGGGCCAUGCAACUAUCUCAACUUUGUCCAGAACAUAUCACCUCUUGGGAAUCUUCCUGUGUGUUCCCACUUGCCUCUCUGCACUCUCAAUGGAAUAUUAUUAUCUUAUCAUUUCUUGCUAUCAAAAUCUUAAAUUUGAUUUCACUAUGUUAGGAUUAAUGGUCUUCCUAGGCUGUGCUGCUAAUGAAAGACAAAAUCAACCAAGCAUGGGAACCACUAGGGAAUUAGGAAGCCAGGUAGCAUUAUCAUCUGCUCAGUGGAGGAAAUGUAGAAUAAGCUCUUUGACGGCAAGGACUGUGUCUUAUACACCUUUUUUUUUUUUGUAGAGACAGGGUCUCACUCUGUUGCCCAGGCCGGUCUUGAACUCCUGAGCUCAAGGGAUCCUUCCCCCUUGGCCUUCCAAAGUGCUGGGAUUACAUGGGUGAGCCACCAUGCCUGACAAUCAUACAACUUUUUAGCUCACAUAGCUCCUGGUACCUAGCAACACUCAGUAGGUACAUGUAGAAUGAUAGUGUGACUUCCCAUUCGGUUUACUGUAUACUACAUUCAUUCUCUUUCUGUGAACUUAUUGGUCACAGAAAAAAUAGACCAAAAAGAGAUUUUAUAAAACCAGAUAGAGUUCACACACACACACAUGCAUGCAUACAUACCACACACACAAACUGCUCUUUGGGUGUAACAGAACCAAAGCUAAGAAGACAGCAGAACCUUGUAAAUUGUAUCCCUGAAUUAAGAAUGACAAUGUUCUCAAGCGUACAACUUCCUAAACACACUGCACAUGCUCACUUCCCGAGGGUAAGGAGGGCACUGUGCAUGCAGGCAGCCCACCCUAAGGGAAGAAUCAUGGGAAAGGGGCGCAAGACACCGGAGGUGGGCCAGCCUAUAAAGUCCUAGGAUCAUGGUUAAACGGGGCACUUGUUCUUCAAGUCGCCCACUUGGAUCUCUUCAAAGUGCACUUUAUUUCCUGCUUUAAAGCUUUUUAAUAAACUUCCACUCCUGCUCUGAAAAAAAAUGAUAAUGUUCUGAUUAAACAUUAGUAAUAUUCCAAAUCUGAAGACUAGUAUCAAGCUAUAUUUCAAAAACCAAUCACCCGAUAAAAGCCCUGGCAGUGACUAGUGAGUACAGUAGCAGGGAUUUUGGCCUCUGCAUGCUCCACACAUUGUUCUCACUGGAAAGCCAGUCAUCUCUGAGGGGAUAGCAAUUAAGCUGGUCUUCUCAGCUCACACUCUUCGCUACAUGAUGAGACUUCACAACUAGGAUAAUGCGUACAGUCUAUGAACUUGGGCUGGUGGUAUCAGAACAGCUUGUUAGGAAAUCCUAGAAGGGCAUCUGAGCCAGGGGCUUUCUCCCUCACAAAGCAUUCUCUUCAUGGAAGGAUGAUGAAGUAAAUCUUAUGUCAGGGAGCCACCUGAAGAAGUCACAUGAGAACUCAGCUAUUGUCACUCUGCCUGUGUAGCUCUGUUUUUCUCAGUCUCUGCUUUCACCAUGAGGCUUUCUACAAAUAUCCUGGUUGCACUAUACCGUAUGGGGCAUUACCAAGGAAGUACAUGCUCUCACUAUCAAUUUUAUGGAAUAGGGAAAAUUCUUACCAUCAUCUAAAUUCAAGGAACAUUUAGCCUUACAGAGCUGGAUCGAGAAAAAUGCACACAUAUUCUUUAUUUUAAUAGCUUCUAUUCAUGACAGUGUAGUGAUUACUGGUGGCUUUGGUACCAGACAGAGCCUGGGUUUGAAUUACAAUUCCAGCACUUACUAGAUAUGGGUUCUUGGACAAAUGACUUCACCUCCCUCAGUCUCAGUUUCCUCCUCUAAAGGGACAUUUGAAGGCUCUGAAAUAUCCAGCAUGCAGUAACUAUGUGGCCUUGAGUAAAUCAUCAAAUUUU